UUCAAUCUGGAUAUCGGUUCGGUUUCGGUUCGGUUUUUUCGGUUUUCGGUAUUUCGGUUAGUAAAAUAUAACUACCAUUCUAAAUCCAUAUUUACUUCGGUUCGGUUCGGUUUAUAUACUGUCGGUUUUCGGUUUAUUCGGUUUUAUACCAAAAAACAUAAUUAUUUUGUUUGAGAUCAUAUUAUAUGAAUUUUAGAGUCAUAUUGUCAAUACAGUCAUUUAUUAAAAAUAUAUUACAUGUUCAAAUAAAUGAACAAAAAAGUAAAAAUGCCUCUACCAUCAAAUAAAAUAAUCAAAUCUAUAACUAAAAUCAAAGCUUGAAAUUUUGAAAAUAAAAAUAUGAAACAAAAUAGAAACAUGAAAGAAAAGUUUUUCCACUCUUCCAUAUUUAGUGUUCAUUAAAGUUAUACUUUUUCAAUUGAAAAUUUUCCAUUAAUUAUUGUCUAUCAAAUUUAUAAUCUUCAUAUUAAUUUAGUGAAGACUAAAAUAAAUAAAAAAGAUCAAAAAAGACUUAGAAAAUAAGAUGUAUGAAUUACGAUGUAUUGUUAUUUAGUUAUAGUUCAAACGUUUUACAAAUUAAAGUUUUUUAUUACUAUAAAAUUAUGGUAAUAGUUAUUAACACAAAUUUAACUUAUGUAACAAAUAGAUUUUCAUGUAUUGUUAUAAAAUAGAUACAUAUUUACAUGUUUCUACUUUUAAUCGGUUUUGUUCGGUUUAUUCGGUUUAAUCGGUUAUAUACCAAACCAUAUCCAAAUCCUACGGUUUUUAUAAAAUUAUAUCCAUUCGGUUUAUAUGGUAUAUACCAAAACCAAACCAUAUUGUCUAUUUCGGUUCGGUUCGGUUCGGUUCGGUUUUACCAUAUUGAAAUGUGUGUUUUUUUUAAAACAGGGAUUUGUUGUUGUUAAGCAAAAUACAUAUCAUGGAUAUAUAUUUUUAGAGUGUUUUUUUUCUGUAACUGAUUUUUAGGGUGUUUUUGUUCUUUCUAUAAACACACUAUUGGAAAGUAUGUAGUAUAAACUCAAAAUUAAUUUUUAUUAAACUAACUAAUUUUUUUGAAAGCAUUAAAGUUACGAGUUCGAAAUCCUAGAAGAAGAAGUAAUUGGAUCCCGUAAGUUAGUUUUCACACUAGUGAGAAUCCGGUCCAUUUUGACUUUACACCAUUUGUGUCGACAUUAAAAAAAUAAUUAAUUCAGAUUUUUAACAUUAACUAUAAGUAUAACUAAUUUACAAAAAAAACUAUUUAUAGCCAUGAAAAAUUGGUGAAAUCCAAUGUAAUGGGGCAAUUGUUAGCCAUUUUCAUGCUUCUUUUUUUCUUUGUUAUUCGUUUUAGACAAAAAAAUUGCCUGCCUAGAGAUUUUUGUAAAUCGAAUGUGACAUAGCAUUUGUUUUCCGUUUCUAAGAAAUGACUGUCAGAUAAAUCUACUUGGUGCUAACUUAUGUACAACUUUUUUUCUUCCGAAUGAAAACUUUGAAAGUAAUAUGUUACAUUAUAGUAGCUAUAUAUUAUUUAUUUAUAUACCUGUUUAAUAUUGUAUCCCAGCCUUCCCUGUCUAUUGUGUAAGUUAUACAUUACAACUUAUGUUUUGCAAGGGUAGUUUAAUACACAACUUGGAACAUAUAAAUAAUAAAUAGAUUGAAUUUAGACAGGGAAGUUAAAAUAAUAUUUGAUUCUGCUAAGAGUAAUUUAUAAGGCUACGUUCGCUGUAUUUUAAAUGAAAAUAUGUGACCAUUGGUAUAAAAGUUUCCUCUAAUUAUGCGAUGCUUUGUAAAAGUGUAAAGAGGCUUCCAAUACAAUGAUUAAUCGUAAAUGAUAUUCACUGGUCAAGCUUUCUUUCCCCCCCAUUUGAUCCUUUUUAAAAGGAUUUCAGCCACUUACUUUUCCCGUUGUGGGUCAAUCCAUUAGACGUAAGAUCUCGAUCAAUGUCAAAUGCAUGUAUAUAAUAUAUUCAAACUAAAGAAAUGUUUACUGCUUUGUUGUUGCUGUUUUUUUUUUCUGACAUCAAAAGUAAAAGAACACUUAUGAAACUAGUUAGCAGCCUCUUGGCUAGCGUAAAGAGCUAGCCAACUUGGUGCAAACAGUUGACAAAUGGGGACCCAAAAACUCGUGAUCUUCCUCCUUUAGCAAGGGAGUCCGUGUUCAUCGAUUUUGGAAUAUAUGCUACAGAGACCUCAGUAAAAACAGCAGAAAAGACUUUAAUCUCAUAUACUACUUUGUUGUUUUUAAGUUUAUAACUUUGGUUUUUCUUUCUAUUUUAUGUAAUUUCUUAUAUGUUAAAAAGAAGCAUUUGGAAUAAAUGUGUUCAUACACAUUGACACGUGUCAAUCCUACAAUCUUUUCAACUUGAGAAUGCUUAGGUGUCAGCCUUACAAACUCUUAGCAAUUAUUAUAUUCACACAUUAAUUUUCUUAACUCUAUCGCAGAAGAUUUAACGUGUUCACACACUAAAUAUUUUAUUCAACUCAUUUUUAGUUUUCAUACUUUUAACCUUUGUAUUAGUGAAUUGAAGUGCUCUCCAGACAAGUAUUGAAUAAUAUCAUUAUUAAAAGAAAUAAAUUACAAAAUCAUUAAGAUACAUCAACUAAAAUACCGGAAUGAGACUGUUUUUAGAAAUUGAUUGUUUUGUAUCUUGUCGAACUUGGCCAUGGUUGAUGUUUUAUGCAUAUGAAAGCAAAAAAUAAUUAUGAUUAGUUAUGAAUUAAAGAAACUGAAGUAAAAAAUGCCACACACAAAGUUGGAUCUUUAGUUUAGCUAAGUAUUGCUUUUCCUUACAGAGUUUUCAUAUCAAAUCAAGAAUUAGAAACACAAUCAGAUUGUUAGAAUCAGAAAUCAUAAAAGCUUUAAAAAAACUCGUGAAAUCGAUUGAAAAACAGAAUUCAUGUACCGAGUGAAGAGAUGACAUUAUAAUAAAGCAACUUUAACCCAUUUCACUCGAUUGUAUCAUGUUUUUCAUAUUUACCAUAAACUUUUAUAAGAGAGUAUACAUUAUUGGUUAUAAACUACGUCAAAUUUUACAUGUCGAAAUGUAUUGACACGACACCCAACCAUUUUUAUUGGUAUUCUUAAAGUGUGUUCCAAUAAUUAUGUAUGCAAAAUAAUCUUAACAUGUUUGUUUUACAUUUAUUUAUUUUUCUUUACAUUUGUAGAAGAAAUUAAGUUUGGGCAAAAUAUUUGGAUCUGAAGAAACGACCGAAUUUGAUUUGAAAGUAAUACUAAACACAAACUAAAAUUGAUUAAGUAUUUAAAUGGAUCUAAAAGUUUAAAAUCCGGAUAACAAGACCCGGAUCCGAUCCAAACUGAAAUAUUUGGAUACCAAAAAUAUCUAAAACACAAUUAUUUACUUAAAUAUAUUAGAUAUUUAAAAAUUUAUAUCUAUUAGAUAUUCAUUAAUAUAAAAAUAUCUAAAAUAACAAAAUAUGUUCAAAAUACCGAAAUAUAUAUAUUUUUAUCCAUCUAAAUAUUUAAAUUGAACUAGUUUUAUGUAAAUUUUAUAUUGUUUUUAUUUUCGGAUUUUAAGGAUUAAGUAUAUUUGGAUUUUUGUUAGAAAAUUACAUAACUAAAAUAGGUACGUGAACUCAAACCCGAACCAAACCAAACCUAGAAUGAUUCAAACCAAAUCCAAUCCAAAUUCAAACUGAAAUUUGUAAAUAUCCAAUCAUAUUUAAAUUUCUAACUCUAAAAAUCAAAAUCCGAAUAGGUCAACUGAAUCCGAACGAAUAUCUGAAUACCCAUGCCUUGAAAAAGUUAUACGACAAAUCUCUUAUUACAUCGUAAAAUAAAUAAUCUAAUCAGUUAUUUUACUCCGCGCACAGCGUGAAUUAUUACCUAGUUCUAAUAUUACUAUUCAACGUGCAAUAAAUUAUUGAACAAUACCAAACGCUUGUCUAGAAGUGAUUAAAACGCAAACAUGGUAAGAUUGGUAAUACUGUGUAACAUAGAUGCAACCUUCAUAAACAAGCACGAAGAGGAAAACCAGAGAUGCAUCAACCAGAGAGUUGACAAACCAAAUAGUAAAAAAUGGAGCAAACUUCAGUACCAGGCAUAAAGGAAUAUUUGCUUAAGACCAUAUAUAAGUUUGUGAAGGUGAGAAAUUUUAUCAGGUAUAUCACAGAUAACAAAAAGAGGUGGUUGUAUCAUAUAAACGUCUUCUUUUAGAGUCUCCUUUGUAGAAAAGCAUUGUUAGAUUCAAAAACAAAAAGGAAAUGCAUUGUUAACAAUAAGCCGACAAAUAGUCAUAUUGCAAGCCACAUCAACAUUAACAAAAAUGUGAAUGGUAGCAUGUUUAGCAACAUGAUUGGAUGAUUCCUCAAAGUUUACUCUUGGCUGUUGAAGAAAACAUUUGAGUGUUAGUAGAGAUUUGUACUUGUUAAUAGAAUAAUCAGAAAACACUGUGAAUUGCAUCUGUACGCACAUUAGAUCCCAAGUUAUGUUUUGAACAAAAGAAUUGUAUUUCUUUUCUUCAGAAGCACAUUACUUCUCAUCUUUUAGAAUUUGAAGAAGUGUCAUUAGUUCAAAUGUUAUUCAUGGAUCGUGUUGUAAUACCUGAGAUUGAUGACUCAAAAACAUUAAUUGAUGUUAUGGAAGUAGCAAUGUAUGAUACUGACAUUGGUGAAGAUGUUUCAGCUAGAGUAGGUGGUGAAGUUGCCUCUGUCAAGGAAACAAUUGAGAAGCUCUUAACAGAGUUAUGAGUGGUGAGCCAAAUAACGGAACAAGAGAAGCAGAUGGUGUAACGUUUUGUGACAGUCAGAAACACAUAUGAGCUUAAUAUAACUUUAUCUUGUUAGUAAUGAAAGUCGACUGCAUGUGAAAAUGGGAUAUCAAUAAUAAUUUUGGUAAGACUUGCCAUGUC
rnacentral:lncRNA from 1 species